rfam:Stegodyphus mimosarum contig107076, whole genome shotgun sequence.
GCCUUCGUGGUGUAGUGGUCAGCACGCUCGACAUGUAUUCGAGAGGUCCGUGGUUCGAGUCUCGGCGAGGGCA